GACGAACCGUGCGAACGUUAUUCGGAAUCACUGGGCUUAAAGCGCGUGUAGGCGGGGCGGUGCGUCGGUCGCUGAAAUCCCCCGGCUCAACCGGGGAAGGGGCGCCGAUACGACCGGCCUGGAGCGACGUAGGGGGAACUGGAACUUCCGGUGGAGCGGUGAAAUGCGUUGAGAUCGGAAGGAACGCCCGUGGCGAAAGCGAGUUCCUGGACGUCGGCUGACGCUGAGGCGCGAAAGCGUGGGGAGCAAACGGG
rnacentral:rRNA from 1 species